rnacentral:tRNA from 1 species
UCUAAUAUGGCAGAUUAGUGCGAUGGAUUUAAGCUCCAAAUAUAAAGCAAAAGCUUUUUUUAGAA